AGAGCGAACGCUGGCGGCAGGCUUAACACAUGCAAGUCGAGCGCUCGUAGCAAUACGAGAGCGGCAGACGGGAGAGUAACACGUGGGAACGUACCCUUCGGUUCGGAACAACCCAGGGAAACUUGGGCUAAAUACCGGAUACGUCCGUAAGGAGAAAGAUUUAUCGCCGAAGGAUCGGCCCGCGUCUGAUUAGCUAGUUGGUGAGGUAACGGCUCACCAAGGCGACGAUCAGUAGCUGGUCUGAGAGGAUGAUCAGCCUCACUGGGACUGAGACACGGCCCAGACUCCUACGGGAGGCAGCAGUGGGGAAUAUUGGACAAUGGGCGCAAGCCUGAUCCAGCCAUGCCGCGUGGGUGAUGAAGGCCCUAGGGUUGUAAAGCCCUUUCGGCGGGGAAGAUAAUGACGGUACCCGCAGAAGAAGCCCCGGCUAACUCGUGCCAGCAGCCGC
rnacentral:rRNA from 1 species